rnacentral:rRNA from 1 species
GUAGGACGCUGAAGGAGGAGCUUGCUUCUCUGGAUGAGUUGCGAACGGGUGAGUAACGCGUAGGUAACCUGCCUGGUAGCGGGGGAUAACUAUUGGAAACGAUAGCUAAUACCGCAUAAGAGUAGAUGUUGCAUGACAUUUGCUUAAAAGGUGCAAUUGCAUCACUACCAGAUGGACCUGCGUUGUAUUAGCUAGUUGGUGGGGUAACGGCUCACCAAGGCGACGAUACAUAGCCGACCUGAGAGGGUGAUCGGCCACACUGGGACUGAGACACGGCCCAGACUCCUACGGGAGGCAGCAGUAGGGAAUCUUCGGCAAUGGACGGAAGUCUGACCGAGCAACGCCGCGUGAGUGAAGAAGGUUUUCGGAUCGUAAAGCUCUGUUGUAAGAGAAGAACGAGUGUGAGAGUGGAAAGUUCGCACUGUGACGGUAUCUUACCAGAAAGGGACGGCUAACUACGUGCCAGCAGCCGCGGUAAUACGUAGGUCCCGAGCGUAGUCCGGAUUUAUUGGGCGUAAAGCGAGCGCAGGCGGUUAGAUAAGUCUGAAGUUAAAGGCUGUGGCUUAACCAUAGUACGCUUUGGAAACUG